rnacentral:rRNA from 1 species
UAUGUGGUUUAAUUCGAUGCAACGCGAAGAACCUUACCUGGUCUUGACAUCCCGGAGACCCUUAGGAAACUAGGGGUGCUUCCAUCUGGAAGAAUCUGGAGACAGGUGCUGCAUGGCUGUCGUCAGCUCGUGUCGUGAGAUGUUGGGUUAAGUCCCGCAACGAGCGCAACCCUUGCCUUUAGUUGCCAGCAGUUCGGCUGGGCACUCUAAAGGGACUGCCGGUGUUAAACCGGAGGAAGGUGGGGAUGACGUCAAGUCCUCAUGGCCUUUAUGACCAGGGCUACACACGUACUACAAUGGCCGAUACGAAGGGCAGCGACACUGCGAGGUGAAGCCAAUCCCGUAAAAUCGGUCUCAGUCCGGAUUGGAGUCUGCAACUCGACUCCAUGAAGUUGGAAUCGCUAGUAAUCGUGGAUCAGCAUGCCACGGUGAAUACGUUCCCGGGCCUU